rnacentral:rRNA from 1 species
AUUGAACGCUGGCGGCAUGCUUUACACAAGCAAGUCGGACGGCAGCGGGGUAGUGCUUGCACUACUGCCGGCGAGUGGCGAACGGGUGAGUAAUAUAUUGGAACGUACCGGGUAAUGGGGGAUAACCAAUCGAAAGAUUGGCUAAUACCGCAUACGCUCUGAGGAGGAAAGCAGGGGACCUUCGGGCCUUGCGUUAUUCGAGCGGCCAAUAUCUGAUUAGCUAGUUGGUGGGGUAAAGGCCUACCAAGGCGACGAUCAGUAGCGGGUCUGAGAGGAUGAUCCGCCACACUGGGACUGAGACACGGCCCAGACUCCUACGGGAGGCAGCAGUGGGGAAUUUUGGACAAUGGGCGCAAGCCUGAUCCAGCCAUGCCGCGUGUCUGAAGAAGGCCUUCGGGUUGUAAAGGACUUUUGUUAGGGAAGAAAAAGGAGCGGUUAAUACCCGUUCUGCUGACGGACCUAAAGAAAAGC